CACCUCUGACAAUGAGUUUCACGUUUCCACCACCAUACAAGUGGAGAAUCCACCGAUUGCCAUCGACAAGCAUUUUUCAAAAGAGAUUGCCAGCAAACAAGGAAAGCGUAUGAAGUGCCACACACGAAUUUCAACUACGAACUAACCCAUAGUAAAUUACCCAGAUUAUUGAUAUGAAUCAACGAAAAAUACCAUAGUUAUAUAAAACGUUAAGUAUUCGAGUUAAACGAGAACCACCGCCCAAUCAUUAUCGCCAAGUCAUUAUCUCUUACGGUUUCCAGAUAAUUCAUUGACAGGAAACAGUCGCGAUAUGAAAUUCCGUACCGAGUAAAUCAACUUAGUUAACACCAUCAAGCGAACUAGCCAUGGAUAACUAUACGGACUUUAUUGGCUAUAACCUCUUCAUAACGGUUACCUAAAUCUACAAUUGUUCUCUCCAAGUGCUCUAUACUACAAAGUACUACUAUUCUACCCAAGUAAUAAAAACUGACUUCACUUUCCCGAACUUCUCCUAAAAGAAAUUCUUUUACGAUACGACGAACGAAGCUAAUCGUCUAUUAGUUUUUAACGAACCGCAGAAUAACAAACAGAACUUACUCGAAUAGCAUUUUUUAGCUUGUCCGCCUCUUGACGAAGGGUUUCGACUUCGCUCAUGAUGACUGUCUAAUGAUGCGCUAAGCGUAAGUAUCCGCGAAGGAUGGAAAAAAACGGUGUCUCUCGAGAAGGAGGCAGUAUACCUCCGAUGAAUCCUAAAAUGUGAUUUUUCAGGAAUGGAUUAGUCCUAUUUCGCGUUUCCUUCUUGCACGAAGGUGGUUGGGGCCCACUGUCACGCCGUCGACGUUUUUUCCGAUGACCAAUAAAUAUCGUCCAGUCUUCCACCACCAGGAACGGGAAGGG